GGGUGACAACACGUAUGUAAAUAGGAAGAGUCAAAACUCAAAUAAAUAAAUAUUUAAUUUUGUUUAUGAGCCAUUAACCCAAAAAGGAACAUUAAGGAUUUUUGCUUUCAUCUUGAAAGUCAAGGUCAUCAAUUAUUUUGAUAUAAAUUUCUACCGAUUAGACGAUCAUCCAAACAAAAUUUACUACAAAUUACACUCUCAUUGAAUCGACUCUCAAAACUGAGUCAAAAAAUUUCCACUCAUACAUUUUCUAUAAUUUUUUUUCUACAAAU
rnacentral:misc_RNA from 1 species